UACGAAGGGGGCUAGCGUUGUUCGGAUUUACUGGGCGUAAAGCGCGUGUAGGCGGCUGGUUAGGUGUGAUGUGAAAUCCUCGGGCUCAACCCGAGAACUGCAUUGCAAACCGGCCUGGCUAGAGUGCAGGAGAGGGAAGCGGAAUUCCAGGUGUAGCGGUGAAAUGCGUAGAUAUCGGGAGGAACACCAGUGGCGAAGGCGACUUUCUGGCCUGUUCUUGACGCUGAGGCGCGAAAGCUAGGGGAGCAAACGGG
rnacentral:rRNA from 1 species